CUUCUGGCAGGCCUCCUCCAAUCAGAGGCCCUGCCCCACCCAGGGAGAAGCCCUGGGCCUUCCAGAAAGUUCCACAGCCUCUGAUUGGUCCUAGACCAGCUUUCCUGGGUGGGAGUGGGGGCAGUGGACUCCUGGAGUCCAUGCAGUAUGCGGAGGGCGGGGGCUUGGAGGAAAGUCGUUGAUGAUGAGCACUGCCUGUUGGGGCUAAGGGAGGUGGGGCCUUCCAGAAUUUAGGAUAUUCUGGCCUCAGGGUGCUCUUUCUUCCUGCCUGGGGGUCAUAUACCACCUGUGGGCACCUCAGGACUCCUGAUAACCUCACUUUUACCUGUUGCCUUUUUAGCCCAGGAUCAGUAGGUAUGGGGUUGCACAUGCUCUUGAAGACACAGCAGCUGUCACAUCAGGGAACCCGACUCCAGAACCCUCUGUAAAUGUCCCAUGGCUUGGCCCUGCCCAUCACCCCACCCAGGCCUCCUCAAACGAGGAGCUAAAGCUGGCCCAUGGGGCCAAAGU
rnacentral:lncRNA from 1 species